UCUUAAAGGUACAGGUAAAGGUACUGCUACAGGAAGUGACUGUUCAAACAGGAAGUGCCCUGCCUAUAAAGGAAGCAGGAAGUUGAGGGUUCCUUCUUUAAUCUUCAAGACUGCACACAGCAGGCAGCAACAGAAAUUUUUCACUCCUUCUUCAAUCUGGUGAAUAAAUGAAAAGAGGAGUUUGUCUGACUGUCAACCUACGUGCACCAAACAGGUGGAGGACUGUACACACACCUGUGGAGGAUGUAGAGGACCAUCUCUUUACUUCCUGCACUGGCAGCGUGAUGACGUCACCUGCAGCCGGACGAGUCGAGUGACGUGAGGGGCAGCCUGACCAAAACAAGAUGAAGAGCUAUUAACAUGUAUGCUACACCACGCUGCCUCACCUGCUUCAACAUCUGGUGUUUCCUCGCUCUGAGAACUCUGAUCUGUGCUGCAGCUGGAAGGAUUUUCUUUGGAUUAAAGUUUACCUGUUAACUAACUUGUAG